UCACCGAGGACAGACUAUUGAUGUCCGUUACAGCAAACAUGUCGGAACCGAGAGUAAAACGAAUAAAAAACGUGCCUUCCCCUCUGUAAAACUUAUAUAUCUUCUGCUGGGAGUCUAGCGAGGGCAAAACUUCCCGACUGUGGUGGAGGAAAGUCUGUGUGGGGUUUCCACUUUGCUUCUGGAGGUCUCUUACAGACUGAAGCGCUGGCCAGAGUCUUUGAGCAGAGUGAUCUGACUCUUCCCAGAGUGUCUGUGUACUUUCAGCAGGAGUCAGUGAAGGAGCUCGAGCGGAGGAAAAUACUGCAGGAAGAACAUCCAGCUAACUCACCCGUCUAACCAGUUAACCAGCACAAGACUUGUCCCAAGUGCCCUCUAUUUCUUCUUAAAAGAAAUAGCGCCUAGAUAUGGAACAAAGAAGAGGCCAGGCACUGGUGAGGUGUGUGCCGUCCUCCCAGCUCUGGAGGUCAUGCUUACCCAGUGGAAGGAGGAGAUGAGCGUCAUGCUGGAGCUGCGUAGUCAAGAGUCAGUUCAUUCAGCCCCUCGUCCCAAAGGUCAAACUCGUCGGUGACCUCUUGACCAGCGCUCGCAGAGUGGGCUGCAGCGGUGACCGCACGGGUGGCUUUGGCGGAGUACCUCAUCGACCGGCUGCAAGAGACCGCUUAGACUUCCUCUUUGUUAAUCAUUUAGGAACCAUGGUCGCACUGUAAAAAGUGAUUAUUCAAAGUAGUAAAGUAAAAAAACAAACUACAAGAAUAGCCUAUUUCAUCUUAAUAUUUCACCUUAUUUCAUUUCAACUUAAUAAUUUAGUGUAUAAUUCAAUGUUACUUGCCAUUUCUUUGUGAUUAUUUGUGAAACUGACUAGCCUAAUAAUGUUUCAAAGUAAACCCAACACCUGAUUUUCUUUUGUGUGUGUCUUUGGCUCUUAAUAAGAUUAUAUAUUACACCUGUCUGAGACAGAUUACAUAUUCGUCCAAAAACUAAAGUGCAUAAAUGCACUCACCAUAAUGCCAGUUUUGUAUGUCUCUCCAGUUGGAGGUAUUGUAAUGUCAUUCCAGUAAAAUCAGUGUAUUCUCUCUCUCUUUCUCAUUUUAUUUGAUCAUUUUUAUUAUUUUGUAGUGCUUCACAAAUAUAUAUGGAACACUGCAUUGCUCUGUUUAUCCUGUGUGUGAGAAGUUUAUUUGGAUUUAUUUUUUUUCUUUUUUAAGUAGUCUUUGUUUGGUAAGCAUUAUUUCAAGUGAAAAUGUCAUCUGUAUUUUUUGAAAAAAUUAAAUAUUUUCGUUUAUUUUAGAAUAUUUUACCCUGUGAAUGUUGUCCUGCAC